AUGCUUCAAGUAAGAAAUCGGAAUCACAUGUCGUCUCUUUUGGGUCUCUCCGACGUAGACGGCGAAAAACCCCUUCGGAACAGUCGAUGACGAUUUUCUAGGGCUGUUUAUCAAGCGGAAUCCCAUGGACUCUCAAAAAGAAUGGUUUUGCUGAUGUCAGGACCUCAUGAGAAUUGUGGAAAGCUCUACCUGGCAAAAGGGAAAGAGGGAAUUGUGAUGCCACCCCUUGGAUGGUCAUAUUCAAAUUAUUCUUCUUCCUGACUUGAUAAAUCUUGAAAUGAAGGUUGAUUCAAGUGGGAUAACCCCAAUUCCUGCCUGAAAGGAUCAUAAAAGUUUGGAAAAUUCUUUCGAUAAUUGAAAUAUGGAAGACUCCG